rnacentral:rRNA from 1 species
GACGUAGGGGGCUAGCGUUGUCCGGAAUUACUGGGCGUAAAGAGCUCGUAGGCGGCCUGUUAAGUCGGGUGUGAAAGCCCUCGGCUCAACCGAGGAACUGCACUCGAUACUGGCGGGCUAGAGUCUGGUAGAGGGAGGUGGAAUUCCCGGUGUAGCGGUGAAAUGCGCAGAUAUCGGGAGGAAAACCGGUGGCGAAGGCGGCCUCCUGGGCCACGACUGACGCUGAGGAGCGAAAGCUGGGGGAGCGAACAGG